ensembl:snoRNA SNORD115 Small nucleolar RNA SNORD115
GGGUCAAUGAUGAGAACUCAUAUGGUCUCAAAGAGAGAUGAUGACAUAAAAAUUAUGCUCAAUAGGAUUAUGCUGAGGCCC